rnacentral:ncRNA from 1 species
UUGAAAGGCAAACCUGCAGAAAUGCAGGGACGCAAAGCUUUGGAACCUGAGAUGCAUUUGUAGCGGAAUGUAUAUGGUCGUCCGGCUGC